GACUCGGUGGCGGAUGGUCCGCGUCUGUGCUCCUUAAGCCUGAAUCUUUUCUGCUGAUCGGCAGAAGCCGCCCGUUCGAUCCGGGCCCGGGUCA